CACAGGACCAGAUAGGCAACAAGAGAACUAGAGUGGGGAACUAAGGGCGUAGCCAUCAGUAUUGGCGUUCGUUACAUACCUAAAAGAAGAAAGGCGAAGCUUCUGAGACUCUUGGUUGAGGAGAAUAAUUCUGGAAGAAAUGAUGGCUCUGUUUGAAUGUUCCUCUGGGAUCUCGUGACCUUUCCUAGAUCAACUACCAUUGUCUCCUGAGUGGUUCAAGACCAAGAAAUGCCCUCUUGUCACUGUCUCAUAGCCUGUAACGAGUCUCAGUUUAUCUUGUUUCUUGCUAAUAUCUCAAGUGCCUAGGUGACCCCUAGGUAAGAGGAGAGAUCUGGAAACUUCAGAAAACACAACCUCCUGGUAAUCUGCUUAGCGGCAUUUGGAACUGCUCAGUGAUCCAUGAAUGUCAAGGCGAGCCUCCCAUAUCCUCAUCCCGGCUCCACGUAAAACCUCUUUAUCUCAGACACUUUCCAUUACCCGAGUCAUCUGCAGUCAGUCAGAAGUGGUGAAGCCUUCUGAGAACUCCAAAUGGAGAGAAAUGGUCUAAUUAAAACGAACUCACUUGGAGGAAGAAGGGCUCUGUGCCGGAAACUGGACUGUCGACACUCGGAGUAUUAGAAAAGAGCAUCUUAGAUCAUUUUCUGAGUCCAAGAAAGACAUGCUAAGGAUAAUUUCUUCUCUAAGUCACAUUUGUAAAACCCAAGUGUUCUCCUUUU
rnacentral:lncRNA from 1 species